rnacentral:lncRNA from 1 species
CACGGGAAGGGCACAUACUUGCGGAAGGGCAGGAAGGCCCUGGGCUUUAGCCUGAGGGCAGGGUGCAGGGCAUCACACCCCAACCUCAGAGGGCAAGCAAGUUGACAGCUGCACACCUUUGUCGCUGUGUGCUUAAACUGGUUUGGAGCCACCUCUUUGAGGUCCUGCCAGAAGCCUGCAUUCAGAAACAAUGGAGCCAGAAAUGAGUCCGUUUAAGAGCCACUUGUGCCCAUUCGCCCACACCUCAGGCGGGUCAAGCAGGCCGCUGUCACAUUCACUCAGGAUGUCUCUCUCUGGAGGUGCUUCUGGCUGCAGAAUUGUUUUCAAAACAGAAGAACGUUCUGAAUUCCGCCUUCCCCCACUCCGCUCUGUCAAUCUAUUGAUUAUGUGUGGAAUGAACUGGAGAACUCAACUAGGAGAUGAAGAAAAACCCUCAGAAACCUCAAGGCCAAGAGGACGUGGUGGAGGCCAACUUGGGGGUUGCAGGACAUCACCCACCUACCCACGAGAUGAUCUAUUAAUAGCUCAGUGGUUCUCACACCUGGGCAGGCAUUGGCAUUACCUGAAGCUGAGAUGAAACCCAAAUGGCUGAGUCCCGCACCCACAGUGUCUGAUUCAGCGAGUCUGGGGCGGGGCCUGACUGAAUUUCCUGCAAUACAGAAAAAUCUCUCUGGCUGCUGCCAGGAGGCUGCUGUGUAGGAGACUGAGCAUGGAAGCCCCAGCCCAGCCCUGCCCAGUUAGGAAGCAACUAUUGUAUUCAGCAAACCCUGCUGGCUCUAACGAGAAGUAUCAUCCCGAGUGCAUCACCAUCACUUCUCACCUCCAUGGCCUCUCAUUAUGCACUCUCUGCCUCUACUCUUGCCUUCCUGGAGCCGUUCUCCAGCCGUUAGCCAAAUGGGUCUUUUCAAAGGUUCCCUGUGCUCCAGCCCCUCAUCACCUGGGAUGGGGUUGUCUGCACCGCUGUCCUUGUGCCUGAUGUCCCCACACGCUCGCUCCUCCUCCACCUUCCGGUAGUCCCAGCUUGAAAGUUCUGACCUCAUCCCCUUCCCCAACACACCCCUACUCCCUGUCACAUCACUCGAAUCUGCUGCCUACAAUUGGUGGGAGUGAAACCACUUAGUUUGCCAACUUUGAAGGAAUCCUGUGAAAUGCUCAGGUAACUGGCACCAAUUUCCCAUUUGUUCCCUUGACAUUUCAGUGCUGCUUAUGGAUUAGUGCUUUGGGCAGCUGCACAGAUAACCCACCUUUUGAUCUGGGUCCGCUUGGCACAAGAUACAAUAAAUGUCAUGAUAAAUGUCAGCCAGGAUUACAAUGCUUCCUUCACAAACCUUAGCACAGACGGUUUCAAUAAAGAUUGCUUGAUUAACUUUUUUCUUCUAAUUCAAUGCCAUUUUAAUCAUGUGCCUACUUUUUGCUUAAAAGGCCUGUGAAUUUCAU